AUAGAUCUCUUGGGUGGUGACUGAAUACAGUCCUGAGAAACUUCCUUAGUUUUCUUGUGAGUGAAGCCACUUGAUUCCACCCACCCUGGAACAGAACCUGGAUCUUCCUUUGCAUUUCUUUUCCAUCCUGGUCUGGAAAACUUUCCUUUUCCUCUGGAUCUCUGAGUUUUCUCAAAGCCCUAAGAAAUCUUUUAUCCUUUGAGGAAGGAUUUUCUGGUGCCCCCGAUUGACCAUCUCACUUUCUCUUUCAUGUUAGACAAAAACAAUUUCCUGUUUAAGAUUCUAACAAUCAGCAUACUCUUGACCUAUUGUUGAAAAUUAAUCAGAACCAAGGGAUUGAGCUACUGUAUGGCACAAUAAAAGCCAGGUUGGAUCUGUGAAGAUCUUUUUUAUGAACACCUAUUAAGGACAAAGGGAUUUUAUGGAUGGCAAGACUAUUCUGUCCAGGACUCUCACAGGUUUGAGGAAUUUCUGGUUUUGAAGACAUCAGUAUUUCUGGUUUUGAAGACAUCUUUGCAGGAAUUCUUGACUAUGACUCGAGGCAUCCCUAGGAAUUAUCUGUCCUGCUGUUCCUGUUGGAUAGUUUUAGAGAGAACUACUCAUGCUCCGAUCGGCUCAAAGGAGGCCAUGUUUCUUGAAGGAAGGCAGAUGCACAGUUGCAACCUGAGAGGUUGGAAGAUUCAGAGAAGUUGCCCACUUGGUUAACUGAAGUACAAAUAAA